UCUGGAGUAGCUCAGUUGGUAAAGCAUGAGGCUUAAUCUCAAGAGUUGUGGGUUCAAACACCAUUUUGAGAA